rnacentral:rRNA from 1 species
GACGAACGCUGGCGGCGUGCCUAAUACAUGCAAGUCGAACGCAGUGGGGACAGGUGAGUAACACGUGGGUAACCUCAAAUCCGAGGGGAAAACACUUGGAAACAGGUGCUAAACCGAUACUGAUGUAUGGACCCGCGGUGCAUUAGCUAGUUGGGGCGGUAACGCCUCACCAAGGCCACGAUGCAUAGACGACCUGAGAGGAUGAUCGGCCAAACUGGGACUGAGACACGGCCCAGACUCCUACGGGAGGCAGCAGUAGGGAAUCUUCGGAAAUGGACGAAAGUCUGACCGAGCAACGCCGCGUGAGUGAAGAAGGGUUUCGGAUCGUAAAACUCUGUUGUUAGAGAAGCGGUAUCUAACCAGAAAGCCACGGCUAACUACGUGCCAGCAGCCGCGGUAAUUC